UACGUAGGUGGCAAGCGUUAUCCGGAAUUAUUGGGCGUAAAGCGCGCGUAGGCGGUUUUUUAAGUCUGAUGUGAAAGCCCACGGCUCAACCGUGGAGGGUCAUUGGAAACUGGAAAACUUGAGUGCAGAAGAGGAAAGUGGAAUUCCAUGUGUAGCGGUGAAAUGCGCAGAGAUAUGGAGGAACACCAGUGGCGAAGGCGACUUUCUGGUCUGUAACUGACGCUGAUGUGCGAAAGCGUGGGGAUCAAACAGGAUUAGAUACCCCGGUAGUCC
rnacentral:rRNA from 1 species